rnacentral:rRNA from 1 species
UACGAAGGGGGCUAGCGUUGCUCGGAAUUACUGGGCGUAAAGGGCGCGUAGGCGGUUCUAUAAGUCAGGCGUGAAAUUCCUGGGCUUAACCUGGGGGCUGCGCUUGAGACUGUGGGACUUGAGGUCAGAAGAGGGUCGUGGAAUUCCCAGUGUAGAGGUGAAAUUCGUAGAUAUUCGCAAGAACACCAGUGGCGAAGGCGGCUUACUGGUCCGGAUCUGACGCUGAGGCGCGAAAGCGUGGGGAGCAAACAGG